CCUACGGGGGGCUGCAGUGGGGAAUAUUGGACAAUGGGGGCAACCCUGAUCCAGCCAUGCCGCGUGUGUGAAGAAGGCCCUCGGGUUGUAAAGCACUUUCAGUGAGGAAGAACGCCUGGUGGUUAAUACCCAUCAGGAAAGACAUCACUCACAGAAGAAGCACCGGCUAACUCCGUGCCAGCAGCCGCGGUAAUACGGAGGGUGCGAGCGUUAAUCGGAAUUACUGGGCGUAAAGGGCGCGUAGGCGGCUUGAUAAGCCGGUUGUGAAAGCCCCGGGCUCAACCUGGGAACGGCAUCCGGAACUGUCAAGCUAGAGUGCAGGAGAGGAAGGUAGAAUUCCCGGUGUAGCGGUGAAAUGCGUAGAGAUCGGGAGGAAUACCAGUGGCGAAGGCGGCCUUCUGGACUGACACUGACACUGAGGUGCGAAAGCGUGGGUAGCAAACAGGAUUAGAUACCCCGGUAGUC
rnacentral:rRNA from 1 species